UAUGUACUCCCUCCCUCCCGUAUUAAGUGACUCAAAUUUACUCAAAUAUGGAUGUAUCUAUGCCUAAAAAGCGUCUAGAUACAUGUAAUAAAAAGUCACUUGAUAUGGGACGGAGGGAGUACUAC
rfam:Brachypodium distachyon strain Bd21 chromosome 2, whole genome shotgun sequence.